rnacentral:rRNA from 1 species
CGGAGGGAUCAUUAUCGAGUUGUAAAACUCCCACACUUGUGAACGUCGCCGUAGAAGUUGCUUCGGCGGGCGGCCCCUGGGAGGGGCCUUUGCCGCGAGGCGCCCGCCGGAGGACCCCUAUACUCUGAAUUUUUAGGCCUCUCUGAGACUAAGACAAAUAAGUUAAAACUUUCAACAACGGAUCUCUUGGUUCUGGCAUCGAUGAAGAACGCAGCGAAAUGCGAUACGUAAUGUGAAUUGCAGAACUCAGCGAAUCAUCGAAUCUUUGAACGCACAUUGCGCCCGCUAGUAUUCUGGCGGGCAUGCCUGUUCGAGCGUCAUUUCAACCCUCAAGCCCAGCUUGGUGUUGGGGCUCCGCGGCUGCCGCGGGCCCUGAAAAACAGUGGCGGACCUAAGGGAAACCGAGCGCAGUAGCUUAACCUCGCCCGGAUUCUCCCCGAACGUCCUCGCCGUAAAACCCCAUCUUAUCAAGGUUGACCUCGGAUCAGGUAGGAAUACCCGCUGAACUUAAGCAUAUCAAUAAGCGGAGGAAAAGAAACCAACAGGGAUUGCCCUAGUAACGGCGAGUGAAGCGGCAACAGCUCAAAUUUGAAAUCUGCCUCUCGGGGCCGAGUUGUAAUUUGCAGAGGAUGUUUUUGGCGCGGUGCCUUCCGAGUCCCCUGGAACGGGGCG